rnacentral:rRNA from 1 species
AGAGUUUGAUCAUGGCUCAGGAUAAACGCUGGCGGCGUGCCUAACACAUGCAAGUCGAACGCGCUUUGCAAGAAGCGAGUGGCGGACGGGUGAGUAACACGUGGGAACCUACCCGGCGGUGAGGAAUACCGGCGAGAAAUCGCCGACAAGACCGCAUAGGCUCGGCGCAAGCCGAGCAAAGCGCCUUUACGGAGGGGCGC